GACCCUUUCGUCUAGUGGCCCAGGACAUUGCAUCCUCAAUGCAAAAACGGAAGUUCGAAUCUUUCAAGGGUCGCCA
rnacentral:tRNA from 1 species